rnacentral:rRNA from 1 species
AUGUUGUUGUUGGUGGUGGUUGGCGAGGUGACGCUGGAAGGCGCGGAGGCGUCGUCGACGAAAGAGAAAAAGAAGAGGACAUACCGUACAGCUGCCCACCACUGCUCACCUCGAUGGCUCGACCACCUCUGCUGUGCCGCAGACGACACAGGGGGAGGCCGAGGUGAUCAUCGACGGUGCUCACCCCGACCCCAUUGGGAUCUAGGGGAAGGGGCUAUGGCGGCAGCGGCACUGGGAGAGGCGGCGGCACUGGGAGAGGCAGCGGCGCUCGGAGAGGAGGCACCUACUUUAUUUCUACUUCUACUUUUCUUCUGCACCUAUAGUUUCAAUGCUUUAUCUGCUCGUGGAGCUAUGCUUCUGUUGCAUUGGGCUAAGGUUUGA